rnacentral:lncRNA from 1 species
AUUGCUCUUCUGAAGGGGUUUCAAAGUUAGGUGAGUGAAGUGGUUGGUCAUUUGAAAGGCUUUUGGGGUUAGGCGUGGGCGUAUUCAAAGAGUUUGGCGUGUCACUAUCCGCAUGAGAGAGUGAAUUAAUAUCAGUGGCUAGCGUGGAGAACUAGCGUGUGUUGGUGCAAUAAAUCAGCAACGGUGGUGCCUGAGCGUGGACUGUGCAACAGAUCUAGGGCGGUGGGAGGUUGUCUUUCGUACAGAGCAUGGAACGUGAGGUUCCAAUGGCAGAGUGGUAAGUCGUAUUGUGCCAAAGUUCUGCUAGAUGAAGAUAUUGGAACCAAGUGUGAGGAUGUUUGCCAGCAAAGCAUCGUAGGUAAUCUUCCAAACUUCGAUUAAGAACUUCUGUUUGUCCAUCUAUUUGCAGAUGGUAAGCAAAACUGAAUUUUAAUGUUGUGUCUUGUGCCUUGAAUAGGUGUUUCUAAAAAGUGCUGACAAAUAGGGGAUCUCGGUCUGAGACAAUGGAUUUUGGCAGCCCAUGAAUACGACAAAUCUCAACCGAGAAUCGCUUGGCAAGUUGCUGGGCAUUGAACUGUUUGGGAAGUGCCAUAAAGUGAGUAUACUUCGUGAGGUGAUCACAUAUGACCCAUAUCACAGAGUGACCUACUAAGGCAAGUAAGUGUGUUAUGAAAUCCAUUGAUAAAUCUUCCCACACUUGAUUUGGUAAUGGGAGGGGUUGGAGUAAUCCAUGGGUCUUUGUUGGCAAAUACUUGUUACGCUGACAUGUGGUGCAUUGUUGAAUGUAGUUCUUGAUAUCUCUAGUCCACCCCAACCAGUAGAAGGCAACAACAAUGCGAGCAAGGGUGGGUUUAAUGUCGGAAUGACCCGCUGUGGGCGAUUCAUGUAGUUCUUGGAGGAUGCGGUUUCUGAAAUUGUUGGUAUCUGGUUGAAACACUUGGUGACGAAAGAAAAGUAGACCAUGACGGACCGAGAAGAGGUUGGGCCUUUGUGUAUCUUUAGCGCAAGCGUCAACUAAUUUUGUUCCUUCUAUGGUGGAAUAAAAUUGGUGUAACUCUUCAAAUAACAAUGGUAUUGGCGACGAGAGUGCAAGCAACAUUGAAGGCGGAUCUGUGUCUUGGCGUGAGAGAGCAUCCGCAACCACAUUUUGUUUACCAGGUCGGUAUAGAAUUUGGAAAUCAUAUCCCUGUAACUUUGAUGUCGAUCUUUGUUGUUCUGGAGUUUGUAUUGUUUGUGACUCAAGUGUAUUUAAUUUUUUUUUAUCUGUGAUUAUUUUGAAGUGUUGCCCUAACAAGUACUGACGUCAUUUUUUUACUGCUUCUGUGAUUGCAUACAUCUCUCAAACAUACACUGAUGAAGCUUGGAGCCUUGAACACAUUUUCUUGCUAAAGAAGGAUAGUGGGUGCCCAUUUUGGCUGAGUACAACCCCCACGGCUACUGCAGACGCGUAUGUUUCCACAACAAAAGGCAAGGAAAAAUCUGGUAGGUGUAGUGUAGGAACUUGAGAUAUUUGUAAUUUUAAUUAUGUAAAGGCCUCCUGAGCCAAGACACUCCAUGUAAAUUUUUUAUUAUGCAACAAAUCGGUGAGAGGAGCGGCGAGAGUGGCGUAGUGAUAAACAAACUUUCUAUAAAAUCCUGUGAGGCCGAGAAAAUCACGUAAUUUUGUGAGUGAACAUGGAUGCGGCCAAUUGUGUAUGGCAAUAACUUUUUCUGGAUCAGGGGCUACUCCUUUAGCCGAAAUGAUAUGGCCCAAGUAAUUUACUUUAGAAGUGUCAAAACUGCACUUAGAUAACUUAGCAAAAAAUUUCUUAGUGUGUAAAACUUCUAAGAUAAUCUUUAAGUGCACAACAUGUUCCUGCAAAUUGGGACUAUAAAUCAAAAUAUCAUCAAAGAAA